AGAGUUUGAUCAUGGCUCAGAUUGAACGCUGGCGGCAGGCUUAACACAUGCAAGUCGAGCGGAGAUGAGGUGCUUGCACCUUAUCUUAGCGGCGGACGGGUGAGUAAUGCUUAGGAAUCUGCCUAUUAGUGGGGGACAACAUUCCGAAAGGAAUGCUAAUACCGCAUACGUCCUACGGGAGAAAGCAGGGGAUCUUCGGACCUUGCGCUAAUAGAUGAGCCUAAGUCGGAUUAGCUAGUUGGUGGGGUAAAGGCCUACCAAGGCGACGAUCUGUAGCGGGUCUGAGAGGAUGAUCCGCCACACUGGGACUGAGACACGGCCCAGACUCCUACGGGAGGCAGCAGUGGGGAAUAUUGGACAAUGGGGGGAACCCUGAUCCAGCCAUGCCGCGUGUGUGAAGAAGGCCUUAUGGUUGUAAAGCACUUUAAGCGAGGAGGAGGCUACUGAGACUAAUACUCUUGGAUAGUGGACGUUACUCGCAGAAUAAGCACCGGCUAACUCUGUGCCAGCAGCCGCGGUAAUACAGAGGGUGCGAGCGUUAAUCGGAUUUACUGGGCGUAAAGCGUGCGUAGGCGGCUUUUUAAGUCGGAUGUGAAAUCCCCGAGCUUAACUUGGGAAUUGCAUUCGAUACUGGGAAGCUAGAGUAUGGGAGAGGAUGGUAGAAUUCCAGGUGUAGCGGUGAAAUGCGUAGAGAUCUGGAGGAAUACCGAUGGCGAAGGCAGCCAUCUGGCCUAAUACUGACGCUGAGGUACGAAAGCAUGGGGAGCAAACAGGAUUAGAUACCCUGGUAGUCCAUGCCGUAAACGAUGUCUACUAGCCGUUGGGGCCUUUGAGGCUUUAGUGGCGCAGCUAACGCGAUAAGUAGACCGCCUGGGA
rnacentral:rRNA from 1 species